GACGAACGCUGGCGGCGUGCUUAACACAUGCAAGUCGAACGGAAAGGCCCUGCUUUUGUGGGGUGCUCGAGUGGCGAACGGGUGAGUAACACGUGAGUAACCUGCCCUUGACUUUGGGAUAACUUCAGGAAACUGGGGCUAAUACCGGAUAGGAGCUCCUGCUGCAUGGUGGGGGUUGGAAAGUUUCGGCGGUUGGGGAUGGACUCGCGGCUUAUCAGCUUGUUGGUGGGGUAGUGGUUUACCAAGGCUUUGACGGGUAGCCGGCCUGAGAGGGUGACCGGCCACAUUGGGACUGAGAUACGGCCCAGACUCCUACGGGAGGCAGAAGUGGGGAAUAUUGCACAAUGGGCGGAAGCCUGAUGCAGCAACGCCGCGUGCGGGAUGACGGCCUUCGGGUUGUAAACCGCUUUCGCCUGUGACGAAGCGUGAGUGGCGGUAAUGGGUAAAGAAGCACCGGCUAACUACGUG
rnacentral:rRNA from 1 species